AGUGAACGCUGGCGGUAGGCCUAACACAUGCAAGUCGAACGGCAGCACAGUAAGAGCUUGCUCUUACGGGUGGCGAGUGGCGGACGGGUGAGGAAUACAUCGGAAUCUACUUUUUCGUGGGGGAUAACAUAGGGAAACUUACGCUAAUACCGCAUACGACCUACGGGUGAAAGCAGGGGAUCUUCGGACCUUGCGCGAUUGAAUGAGCCGAUGUCGGAUUAGCUAGUUGGCGGGGUAAAGGCCCACCAAGGCGACGAUCCGUAGCUGGUCUGAGAGGAUGAUCAGCCACACUGGAACUGGGACACGGUCCAGACUCCUACGGGAGGCAGCAGUGGGGAAUAUUGGACAAUGGGCGCAAGCCUGAUCCAGCCAUACCGCGUGGGUGAAGAAGGCCUUCGGGUUGUAAAGCCCUUUUGUUGGGAAAGAAAAGCAGCAGGUUAAUACCCCGCUGUUCUGACGGUACCCAAAGAAUAAGCACCGGCUAACUUCGUG
rnacentral:rRNA from 1 species